CAAACCUCACCCACAAACGGAUCAAAUCUACUUACUGCGACACGAAGUGCGUAAAUACAGCCAGGAGCAGGACCCACGCAGCAAAGCAGAGGCCUGACGCCAUCAUGGAAUAAACACGUACAAAACGGAAACCAACCACACGAGAUACAGAAUAGGUGAUGCAGGAGGAAGCUGCUGGAAGGGACUGUGCUGCAAAUCCUCCCCGGGGACGUGGAAGCGAGGGGAAAAGCAGGUAGCAGCCCCUCUCUUUGGCUCAAAGAGGCUUCGCUGGUCGUCUGUGCUGAAGUUCAUUAAUGCUCUUCCACUGUAGAUUUGUAUUCUAGGGGUUUGAUACAACGUCCAGCAGCCAGAGGAAGCGUCGUCUCCAGCUGAACGUGAAGUGUUGCACCGCUGUCCUUUGAGCACAUCUGUAGCAGUUUUCGUGCCUGCGGCUGCAGACUCCCUGCUGUUAUAUACAAAUCACAGGCGCCGUGGGCAGAGCAGGCCGUCUGCCUCCAGGCCUCGCCUCCCUCCGGCCUGGUAGCCUUUCCUUCCUCGGCCGCUCAGUUCAUGUGGAGGUGGCCUUGAUUAAUCAGCGCAAAGCCCGUCUGCAUGCAACGCUGACAGCUCGGCACGAGGGCAGGCGCGUCCUUUUAAAUCCGACUUCUGACGUCGGCUGGCUUGGAAAUCAAUUCAGGAAGCGUUCUGCUACGUGGAAGAAAAACCAAAAGCCAAAUUCCUCAUCCAGUUGACCAACAAGCUCACGUUACCAGGUAGCGUUGACUAAAAUGAAACUGUGAGCAGUUUCUGCAGAUGCAUUAUGUGAGUGGGUCACUGCCGCUUCUUUAAAAAGGGAACUGCGCCCUGGGUUGAACUUUUAAUAAUAAUCCUUCCAUCACUUCCCCACGCCGGGUCCCACCCGCUAUUUGCAGCGCUGACCUUUAAAGCAGGAAGUUACAGUUAACACAGCCCCAGCACCUGCGAUGACAACCUGCUUUACAGCAUUUUUCCCUCAUCGAGCGCGUGUACAUUUUUGCUUUGUCCUCUCGGCACGUACAAGCUGCAGUUUGGCUUCCAGGACUCGGGCGCCGCACCUACGACUGGGACUCCAGAGCUGAGCAUUGUGCCGUCACCACUGAUUGCACACUGCAAAAUGAGUCGUUCGGUGCAAAUUUCAUCAACUUUAUAUUUACGUAAAGCUACGAUGGAGUUUUCCGAUGCAACACUGGAAACUCCACGUAG